GGGGAAGGGAUGCCUCAGCAUGGGCCCGCUGAGACACCCCCUUCCCCCACACCUCACCACACCCCCAUAGAACAUAGUCCCUUCUCUGUCUUUUUAUAAACACAUCAGCAUGGAUGCCUCAGCAUGGGCCUGCGGCGGCACCUUCUUCCCCCAUACCUGACUACACCUCCACUGAACAUGUUCCUUCUCUCUUUAUUUUAUAAAACACAAUGUAAGGAAAAGGAACAAGCCAGGCAGGUAUAAACAAAGGUCCCAUCGUAUUCAGGGACUUAGCAAGACCCAUCACAAUAUAAAGAACCCAUUCUUCCUCUGUGUUCAUCCUGAGCCUACUUCCGUGUCCUAGCCCAAAGUCAAAUUCCUGCCAAAUUCCUAGAAGUGGCUUCAACAUCUCCACCUUUGUUUUAAAGACAACAUCUCUCUCUGAACCUGAAACUCAGUGAUUCAGCAAAGCUUGCUGUAGCAGGCCAGUAAGCUCUGAAGUCUGCCUCUGUCCUCCUUGCCCUGAGGUUGAAGGCAUGUCGCACCUUGCUUGGCUUUUAUGAGGGUGAUGGAGGUCCAAAUGCAGGUCCUCAUGCCUGAAGAUACUAGUUGGUACUUCACCAACUGAGCCAUCUAUGCUGUGUCUGUGUCUAUUGUCUAUGUCUACAUCUUCAUCUACGUCUACGUCUACUAUGUCUAUCUGUAUCUCUAUCUCUAUGAUUUAACCCACCUCACACAGUAACUGCGAGAAAUAAAUAAGAUGGCGGAUAGAUAAUGAUAGCACAAAUACAGCAAAUGUGUCUUAUGAAGAAUCAUUAUGAUUACUUAUUAUGGUUAAUUAUAAUUAAUGAUAUUGUUCUGAUUCCUGCCUCUGUAUGAAGGCACGAGGACAAGUGUGGGGCGAUGAGUCUAUCUGAAUCUAGGCAGGCGUCAGAUGGAGCUGUGAACAGUGUCACCAGGGGUCCAGGGAGAGUGGAGAGAAGUCCUGAGCAUCUAUCACCCUACCCUGCCUGGCUGUCCCGAAGACACACUUACAGAAAGUUUGGGUCAAGGCCACAGAGGCCAUUUGGUUAGCAGAUGGGGCCCGAGAGUGCUCUAGAAAUUCGAAUGAUCCAAUAACAUUUAAUAAGUGAGAUUUCCUGCAAAAUAACAGACUUCUCUGUUUCCAAUCUUUAUGCUAUAGGAAAAUGUAAAGCCUGUAUUUGCUUGAGGUCACUCAUAGGUAACCUCGUAAUCAGUCAAAGUCACCUUGACAUUAGAGGAAAUGAUAACAUUUCAAGCGGGUCCCACACAUAGGCGCAGGGUGGGCCCUUGGGCUUCCCCUCAACCGUGGGCUGCUGGGCCAUUGGCUCCCCAGGCCUACGUGUACCUCACUUAGCUCCUCAGGUGCUAAUCUUGAUGUUAUGUAACAUCUAAGCUUUAAUUUCCUUAUCUUAUGGAUGCGGUUAAUAACAAAAGGUGUUUCACAACCUCACUGUGAGAUUCAGUGGGAUCCCUGCUCAGCGCUGGCCUGGAUGGUGAGUGAGCCUUGUGAUUCUUGUUCCUAAAAGAUGGUGCGGGCCCUCGGCCCCGGGAGUGAGUCUCUCGCACAAAUGAAAGAGUUGUUUAAAGCUUCCAGGAUUUGGGGGUGGAGGCGAUCUCAGGCUCUCUGACCUGAGGUGAAGAAACAGAAAGAUAAAUAGAUUUCAAAUCCACCCCGUCUUUUUGGGGUGGGGGCGCUGUCCAGUUUUAUCAAAAGAAAAACAAGAAAGCUGCAAGAGCCAGCCCCCCUGGUGAUUGCGUGGGGCUCUCCUCUUCCCAGAGGCCACAGGAGAGGGGGCUGCUGGGACGAGUCUGGCCAAUCCCUGGGCCAAGGCUGGCUUUCAGCAAGCUUCCGGAGGAAGUGUUCUGCAGCCUUCUGCCGUGAGGAGAGGGAGCGGGAGAGCCUGUGGGGGCCGGCUGAUGGUGCCUGACUACAGCUGUUUGGCCAGCUGUGAGCAGUGUCCUUCAAUGCCCCCGACUGGCAAGCUGCUCCUUCUGGCGUAACCGUGUGAUUUGCUCCUUCAAGGCUGCCUUGACGGAAGUGGAGGCCUGAGCUGGUAAGACUCAUGACUGAGUUGUGGUCCAGCCUCUCGUCACAGAGGACCAGGCAGCCAGCACACGGGCCUUGUGGACAACGGCAGACAGCGUAACUCCUCCGUUUACCUCAGAGUGUUAUGGAAAUAAGUGUUGGGAAGUAUUUUUAAGGGGAAGCACUCCUGUUUAAAGAUAUUUGCUUGUUUAAUUUGUAAGAUGGUUGUAUCCAAAUCACAAAAAGAAAUGUAUUUGAAAUGAAUAAGGGACAUUUGCAUUUGGUCGGGAGAUAAACACGUGUGCUACAGAAUAAAGUCACCCACGUUGUGAAGCUUC